ACAGAGGGACAAGCGUUGUUCGGAAUUACUGGGCGUAAAGCGCGCGUAGGUGGUUUAGCAAGUUGGAGGUGAAAUCCCCGGGCUCAACCUGGGAACUGCCUCCAAAACUACUGAGCUAGAGUACGGUAGAGGGUAGUGGAAUUUCCUGUGUAGCGGUGAAAUGCGUAGAUAUAGGAAGGAACACCAGUGGCGAAGGCGACUACCUGGACUGAUACUGACACUGAGGUGCGAAAGCGUGGGGAGCAAACAGGA
rnacentral:rRNA from 1 species